UUGCUUAAUAUGCAUGUAUACUAAAAUUGGAACAAUGUAGUAAGUAGAUUAGCAUGGCUUCUGAACAAGGCUGACAUACAAAUUUUCCAAAUAUCU
rnacentral:snRNA from 14 species